GCCUGCGUCCCACGUCAGAAGCUGGAGCUCACCCGGCUCCGUUCCCUGUCUGACUCCCAGAAGCGCCUGAUCAUCAGAUCAUUCCAUUGUCUUCCAGAUCAUGUUACUGCUGCGGGAAAAGAAGCUGUAAAUUGAAGGUUGACGGCCAUUUCUAUGAGUUUGCUCAGGACCAGUGUGACCUGCAAGGGCUGCCUUAACUGCCAGACAUUAGGCGCUUAC